UACGUAGGGUGCAAGCGUUGUCCGGAAUUAUUGGGCGUAAAGAGCUCGUAGGCGGUCUGUCGCGUCUGCUGUGAAAACCUAGGGCUUAACUCUGGGCGUGCAGUGGGUACGGGCAGGCUAGAGUGCGGUAGGGGAGACUGGAAUUCCUGGUGUAGCGGUGAAAUGCGCAGAGAUCAGGAAGAACACCCGUGGCGAAGGCGGCACUCUGGGCCUGUACUGACGCUGAGACGCGAAAGCGCGGGGAGCGAACGGG
rnacentral:rRNA from 1 species